rnacentral:lncRNA from 1 species
GUCGCUGCCGCCACCACCACCAUGCUGUGCAACAAGGAGCGGACCGGUUACCAGGGGGGCGGCGGGAGAGCGCGAGGCGGCGCGCGGAGCAGCGCCCGGGAGAGGAAGCCCAUGUCCCUCCGCAUAAAUCAGGUAAAGGAGGUAAACGCGGCUCUCGAGCGCUGUCGUUGCUCUAGGAAGACGCGGCGUUUCCCGCGGAUUAACGCAAAGAGAGGAAACGGCGAGGCGGUAAGUGGCUGUAGCUGUGCCGUCGCUGCGCUUCCGCGGUGUGGAUCAGGCAGCACCGACUGCGCGGCGGAUCCCAUCACAACAGACGAUCCAGUAGUCGAGCCGCGAUACGGAGAGGACUGAUGCGGGAUGAACACGUGCAGCGAGCGCAAGCUACGCACGCGGCUGUGCUCCGACAGUCCGUCAGUAGCGUGCGUCGGUGCCUCGGGAAGCCGCUGCUCGAACGACACGUACGGAGACCCAUGAGUCUCGGGCUGUUCUCACAUCUUCACGUUCGCUACCGUGUCUAGUGAACGAGACCAAAGUGCAGCAGAAGCUCAGGUGGCCUCGAGGGGCUCCGUGUCGGUGGGCGGCCGGACGGACGGACGGACGGACGGACUGACGGUAUUGGCGGCGCUGUCCUUUCAGCACCAGCUGUCCGUCCUUCUCGGCUUCUAUUCCCUCCCGCGAAAUGAUGACACAGAUGAGGUAGCGGCUCUCUGACACAGGUGCCUCGUAGCGUCGCACUGGCCUCCUGUCCUUAUUAUAACCGUAAACAUGUUUCCUGCUCUCUUGUCGGUUAAAGUUCCCCUCUGAACGUCAAACGCGCAAUUAAACGAAGAAGGCGAACAGUUCUACAUGUAAUUAAUGCAGCAUAUUUGGUCGCCGCGCCUGCGAAAUACUGCGCCAAUCAUUGUUCAUGUUCACGCGAUCCAUCCACACCACGUUCAGCGAUGCGCCACUUUAACGCAUCAAGCGAAGUGGCCGAGCUCACGCGCGCGCACCUGAAGGCUGAAAUGAGGGCUGCUGUCGUGCAACAAACGACAGUGAUCCCUGUUCUUAAUCAGUAGUUACCACCCCGCAGCUGAACGACAAGGAUAUAAAACGUAUCGUUAUUUUA